GUGCCGGGGCUCAGCCCCUGACGGCCCCGGCCCAAUUUAAACCCUGUGUAUGGGGAACAGGAGUUUAGGGUCAGAUACAUACAAACACGUGUUUUGUAUUUCCAUCUGUAUUCUCGAGGCUUUGCUAAGGUAAAGAGUGUUUGCAUUCCUCAGGAUUGUGGUUUUAGAAAGCAUAAGCCCAUCCUCAGACAGCUGGGUUCAAUAUAAGCACAGUUGGAUUGUGGGUAAAGGGAUUCACAUGCACAAAACAUACAGUAUGUUUCCCAUAUAAUUCAGUAUCAUCAGUGAUUUUCAUCCAGUUUCACACUGACCCAAAAUUGUUAACUGAUGCAUCCUUUUUAGUGUGAUACAUUUUUGAACAUUUAUUUUAACAAAUCUGGUUCUAGACUUCUAUCACUCAGUUUGCUGUUCUAUUUUGUUUUGGCUGUAAUUGUACCCAUAAUUUGAUGUUGUUCCCUAGUGCCAUGGUUUAAUUAGUUCAGCAUAUUACACAUUAACAGUAUUAUUACUAUUAUGUCAGAAAAUAUGAAUAACUCUGUGAUCUGUGUCCUUCAGACUAAAAUGGUUCGUGCUCAAUUUGAUCAUCUCAUAUGCAUUCAGGGUUCCCAGUCAUGGAAAUCUGGGAAUAUCACAGAAGUGUAAAACUGUGGCUUUCCAGCCUGGAGCAUUCACAGAAAUGAAUAAAAAGUAAUGAAAAUGUCCAUUCUCUAUACAUUUUUAGAUUUGCUCAGCCCUAAAAUAUUUUAGUGGCUGGAAAUUGCUCUUCAUGAGCUAAAAUCCUAAAAAAAAAAAAAAUGGUAAUGGAAUAAAGUCAUUGGCCAAACAAUCUGGGAACCCUGACACUUGCAACCUUUUAGAUCUUCUCUUUUCUUUUAUCUGUCAGAAUACAUGCAUAUUUUUAUUUUAUUAUAUUUGUUUUAUUUUAAUUUUUUGAUAGGAGUGAACCAAAAAAUACAGACAUAUAGGAAACCUUCAUUUCUGUGUGUGAAUGUGUGUGUUGUUUGAAACUGAGAUCCUAAUUUAAUCACUAAUCAUCUACUGUAUGUUCUGUUUAAAUAUCUGUAAAAUGGAUUAGCUGUAUAGCUGUCCGUUUGUGCAUACAUUCAUUUACAUGCACUUGAAACAGGAUAUACGGAAAACUUGUGUAAUUUACCCCAAAUGUGUAUGUUUUAUUUGUUUAGGAUCACAUUGUGAAUAUGUCAUAGGGCUGUAGGUUUAUCAUGUAGUUUUUUGUAUUUUAUUUAUGUCUAAAUGAUUAGGCAGAUUAAUAGUGAUCAUGUUUCUAAGCAUUUCGAAGACUAACCUGUUCACAAUGUGUAACGCUUUUUAUUUGCAAAAUAUUAUUUCUCAACACAAGCUCCACUGUAACACAGCUACUGAUCUGUUUUUUCUUUGUUAUCCCAGUUUUCCUUUCCAUUUAUUUGUUGUAUUCAUUCAUUCAUUCAUUCAUGAUCAUAAACAAACAAAAAAAAACACUGAUCCGAUUUCCUAUUGCUUCCAAUCUAAGAAUAAGAGAAGGAAUGGAGCGUUGCGUGUGAAUGCAACACCUAAACAGAAUCAUGUUAAAAAUGAAGGAAAUAGUAUAAACACGGUGAUGAGAAACAAUAUUUUAUUUAUUAUUUUUUUAUGUUUUUAAUGAAUUACAUAGUUCAAUAUGUGUAAACGAAUAUGACUAUUGUACAGAAUGGCUGAAUUCUUUUGCGUGUUCUGCAUAAAUCAUCUGAAAUUGUUGUAGCAUAAUAUAAUGUGUCAGAGAGAUGUAACAUGGAUAAUUGGUCUGAAUUACAGCUGUAAAAUAAAUGUGAAGGAAACUUAAAAAGAAAAA